CUCGGGGUGUGCGUCACGGCAUUUGGCCGUUGGCUUUAUCUGAGAAGCCCCUUGGCACGUUGAGGUCUGUGCCUCCGUGCAGCCUAGGGACAGGUCACAGGCUCUUGUCUGUUGCCCGUGGUUGUGGGUUUAUUCCCAGGUGUUGGCUGUGCUGCGUUGUCCUUCCCUUCUGGAAAGUCGUGCCUGUGUGUGCGUGUUCCCCUUCCUUUCCUUGUUUGUGUUUGUGGAGUGGUUGAGCGGCUGUGCUUUCCCUUUAGGCCUCCACAAAGAUGGCUGCAGCUUAGCUUUGACUUCCCAGGGGGGAAUGGAGGACUUUGGUGCAUGCCGCAAAAGGGGUGUUCCCUCUUAGUCCUGCGAGCGCAGCGAGUGUCCUGUCUUCCUACUAUUUCCUUAGUGCAGAUCAGAGCCACACGGUAGUUCUGUGGCCAAGGCCUCCCUGUAGCCAGGGCUUGGGCCUGUCCUUGCGUGGCCGCCUGUCCUGCUGGCGGCGGUGACAGCCCCGUACUCGGGGUGUGUGUCCCAAGCUUCGGAGCCCUCUGUCCCUGAGCAGCCCGCCCGCCCUGUAAUCAGGUGUGGGGAGGCUGCAGCGUUGCAGCCGGCUGCUUUAGCCAUCCAGCUGGUGGGAGUGACCCCUCCCUGUCCCGUCAGAGGGUGCAGGUUGAGGUGCUGUUUGUGUGUGGGGUGACCUCCCCGCUCGGUGGGUCGAGGUAGCUCCCUGGGCUUCCAAAGACGAGACGUUGGUGAUGUUCUGCUGCUGCCGGGCGGGCCAGCCUGUAACUCAGGCGUUGGCGGGAGCCUCGUGCUCUGCGGGGCUUCUUGAAGAGGGUGAGGUGUGGGGGUACCGUCCUGUAGGCAGGGCUGUGUGUGCCCCCCGUGUGUGCUUGGUGAGCUGCGUUCUGAGAGACCCCCUGUACUCAGGUGGGAAUGUGGCCCCGGCCUUUCAGAGGCGCGGGGCCGUGAGAUGCGGGGUGGGGCUUGCGCCCUCCCUGGAAUCGGGGCUGGGAUCCCGACUGCGGCCUUUGGCCGUGCCGCCCCG
rnacentral:lncRNA from 1 species